CUAGAGAUAGAAAGUUACUUCGGUACAUCGGUGACAGUGGUGCAUGGUUGUCGUCAGCUCGUGUCGUGAGAUGUUGGGUUAAGUCCCGCAACGAGCGCAACCCCUAUUGUUAGUUGCCAUCAUUCAGUUGGGCACUCUAGCGAGACUGCCGGUAAUAAACCGGAGGAAGGUGGGGAUGACGUCAAACCAUCAUGCCCCUUAUGACCUGGGCUACACACGUGCUACAAUGGUUGGUACAACGAGUUGCGAGUCGGUGACGGCGAGCUAAUCUCUUAAAGCCAAUCUCAGUUCGGAUUGUAGGCUGCAACUCGCCUACAUGAAGUCGGAAUCGCUAGUAAUCGCGGAUCAGCACGCCGCGGUGAAUACGUUCCCGGGCCUU
rnacentral:rRNA from 1 species